rnacentral:rRNA from 1 species
GAUGAACGCUGGCGGCGUGCCUAAUACAUGCAAGUCGAGCGGACCAAAGAGAGCUUGCUCUCUGAGGUUAGCGGCGGACGGGUGAGUAACACGUGGGUAACCUGCCUGUAAGACGGGGAUAACUUCGGGAAACCGAAGCUAAUACCGGAUGAUAAAGAGAAACGCCUGUUUCUUUUUUGAAAGUCGGCCUUGUGCUGACGCUUACAGAUGGUCCCGCGGCGCAUUAGCUAGUUGGUGUGGUAACGGCUCACCAAGGCGACGAUGCGUAGCCGACCUGAGAGGGUGAUCGGCCACACUGGGACUGAGACACGGCCCAGACUCCUACGGGAGGCAGCAGUAGGGAAUCUUCGGCAAUGGACGAAAGUCUGACCGAGCAACGCCGCGUGAGCGAUGAAGGCCUUCGGGUCGUAAAGCUCUGUUGUCAGAGAAGAACAAGUACCGGAGUAACUGCCGGUACCUUGACGGUACCUGACCAGAAAGCCACGGCUAACUACGUGCCAGCCGCCGCCGUAACAC